GAUGAACGCUGGCGGCAGGCUUAACACAUGCAAGUCGAGCGGGGGAGGUUGCUUCGGUAACUGACCUAGCGGCGGACGGGUGAGUAAUGCUUAGGAAUCUGCCUAUUAGUGGGGGACAACAUUCCGAAAGGAAUGCUAAUACCGCAUACGCCCUACGUGGGAAAGCAGGGGAUCUUUGGACCUCGCGCUAAUAGAUGAGCCUAAGUCGGAUUAGCUAGUUGGUGGGGUAAAGGCCUACCAAGGCGACGAUCUGUAGCGGGUCUGAGGGGAUGAUCCGCCACACUGGGACUGAGACACGGCCCAGACUCCUACGGGAGGCAGCAGUGGGGAAUAUUGGACAAUGGGCGGAAGCCUGAUCCGGCCAUGCCGCGUGUGUGAAGAAGGCCUUUUGGUUGUAAAGCACUUUAAGCGAGGAGGAGGCUCUUAAGGUUAAUACCCUUGAUGAGUGGACGUUACUCGCAGAAUAAGCACCGGCUAACUCUGUGCCAGCCGCCGCCGUAAGAC
rnacentral:rRNA from 1 species